rnacentral:rRNA from 2 species
UAAUUGAAGAGUUUGAUCAUGGCUCAGAUUGAACGCUGGCGGCAGGCCUAACACAUGCAAGUCGAGCGGUAACAGGGGA